CCUACGGGUGGCAGCAGUGGGGGAUAUUGCACAAUGGGGGGAACUCUGAUGCAGCGACGCCGCGUGGGUGAAGGAGCGUUUCGGCGCGUAAAGCCCUAUCGGCAGGGAAGAAGGAGGAAGGUCGCUGACUUCGAAGCACCGGCUAACUAAGUGCCAGCAGCCGCGGUAAUACGGAGGGGGCCAGCGUUAUCCGGAUUUACUGGGUGUAAAGGGGGCGCAGACGGCAGCGCAAGCCAGGAGUGACAGCCCGGGGCCCAACCCCGGGACUGCGCUUGGAACUGCGCGGCUGGAGUGCAGGCGGGGCAGGCGGAAUUCAUGGUGUAGCGGUGAAAUGCGUAGAUAUCAGGAGGAACACCGGUGGCGAAGGCGGCCGGCUGGACUGCGACUGACGUUGAGGCCCGAAAGCGUGGGGAGCAAACAGGAUUAGAUACCCGGGUAGUC
rnacentral:rRNA from 1 species